rnacentral:rRNA from 1 species
GAUGAACGCUGGCGGCGUGCCUAAUACAUGCAAGUCGAGCGAACGGACGAGAAGCUUGCUUCUCUGACGUUAGCGGCGGACGGGUGAGUAACACGUGGAUAACCUACCUAUAAGACUGGGAUAACUUCGGGAAACCGUAGCUAAUACCGGAUAAUAUAUUGAACCGCAUGGUUCAAAAGUGAAAGACGGUCUUGCUGUCACUUAUAGAUGGAUCCGCGCUGCAUUAGCUAGUUGGUAAGGUAACGGCUUACCAAGGCAACGAUGCGUAGCCGACCUGAGAGGGUGAUCGGCCACACUGGAACUGAGACACGGUCCAGACUCCUACGGGAGGCAGCAGUAGGGAAUCUUCCGCAAUGGGCGAAAGCCUGACGGAGCAACGCCGCGUGAGUGAUGAAGGUCUUCGGAUCGUAAAACUCUGUUAUUAGGGAAGAACAUAUGUGUAAGUAACUAUGCACGUCUUGACGGUACCUAAUCAGAAAGCCACGGCUAACUACGUG